UUAACGCUGGCGGCGUGCCUAAUACAUGCAAGUCGAGCGAACAGACGAGGAGCUUGCUCCUCUGACGUUAGCGGCGGACGGGUGAGUAACACGUGGAUAACCUACCUAUAAGACUGGGAUAACUUCGGGAAACCGGAGCUAAUACCGGAUAAUAUAUUGAACCGCAUGGUUCAAUAGUGAAAGACGGUUUUGCUGUCACUUAUAGAUGGAUCCGCGCCGCAUUAGCUAGUUGGUAAGGUAACGGCUUACCAAGGCAACGAUGCGUAGCCGACCUGAGAGGGUGAUCGGCCACACUGGAACUGAGACACGGUCCAGACUCCUACGGGAGGCAGCAGUAGGGAAUCUUCCGCAAAGGGCGAAAGCCUGACGGAGCAACGCCGCGUGAGUGAUGAAGGUCUUCGGAUCGUAAAACUCUGUUAUUAGGGAAGAACAAAUGUGUAAGUAACUAUGCACGUCUUGACGGUACCUAAUCAGAAAGCCACGGCUAACUACGUG
rnacentral:rRNA from 1 species